rnacentral:rRNA from 1 species
UACGUAGGGUGCGAGCGUUGUCCGGAAUUAUUGGGCGUAAAGAGCUCGUAGGUGGCUUGUUGCGUCUGCCGUGAAAGCCCGUGGCUUAACUACGGGUCUGCGGUGGAUACGGGCAGGCUAGAGGCUGGUAGGGGCAAGCGGAAUUCCUGGUGUAGCGGUGAAAUGCGCAGAUACCAGGAGGAACACCGGUGGCGAAGGCGGCUUGCUGGGCCAGUUCUGACGCUGAGGAGCGAAAGCGUGGGGAGCGAACAGG